rnacentral:rRNA from 1 species
AUAUCAAUAAGCGGAGGAAAAGAAACCAACAGGGAUUGCCCCAGUAACGGCGAGUGAAGCGGCAACAGCUCAAAUUUGAAAUCUGCCUCCGGCCCGAGUUGUAAUUUGUAGAGGAUGUUUCGGGUACCGCCUCGGUUUAGAUUCUUUGGAACAGGAUGCCAUAGAGGGUGAGAGCCCCGUCUUGGACCAGGGUAGGACCAUGUGAAACUCCUUCGACGAGUCGAGUUGUUUGGGAAUGCAGCUCAAAAUGGGUGGUAAAUUUCAUCUAAAGCUAAAUAUUGGCCAGAGACCGAUAGCGCACAAGUA